rnacentral:rRNA from 1 species
AUUCUGGCUCAGGAUGAACGCUAGCGGCAGGCUUAACACAUGCAAGUCGAGGGGCAACGCGAGUAGCAAUACUUGGCGGCGACCGGCGCAAGGGUGCGUAACGCGUGAGCAACAUGCCCGUAUCAGGGGGAUAAUCCAGGGAAACUUGGUCUAAUACCCCAUAGUAAUUUUGUAAGGCAUCUUAUAAGAUUUAAAGCUUUGGUGGAUACGGAUUGGCUCGCGUGACAUUAGCUGGAUGGUAAGGUAACGGCUUACCAUGGCUAUGAUGUCUAGGGGUUCUGAGAGGAAGGUCCCCCACACUGGAACUGAGACACGGUCCAGACUCCUACGGGAGGCAGCAGUGAGGAAUAUUGGACAAUGGAUGGAAUCUGAUCCAGCCAUGCCGCGUGAAGGAAGGAAACGGUCCUAUGGAUUGUAAACUUCUUUUGUAUGGGAGCAAUAAGGCCUACGUGUAGGUUGAUGAGAGUACCAUACGAAUAAGCACCGGCUAACUCCGUGCCAGCAGCAGC